rnacentral:rRNA from 1 species
UGGGGAAUUUUGGACAAUGGGCGAAAGCCUGAUCCAGCAAUGCCGCGUGUGUGAAGAAGGCCUUCGGGUUGUAAGCACUUUUGUCCGGAAAGAAAUCCUUGGCUCUAAUACAGUCGGGGGAUACGGUACCGGAAGAAUAAGCACCGGCUAACUACGUGCCAGCAGCCGCGGUAAUACGUAGGGUGCAAGCGUUAAUCGGAAUUACUGGGCGUAAGCGUGCGCAGGCGGUUUGCUAAGACCGAUGUGAAAUCCCGGGCUCAACCUGGGAACUGCAUUGGUGACUGGCAGGCUAGAGUAUGGCAGAGGGGGGUAGAAUUCCACGUGUGAGCAGUGAAAUGCGUAGAGAUGUGGAGGAAUACCGAUGGCGAAGGCAGCCCCCUGGGCCAAUACUGACGCUCAUGCACGAAAGCGUGGGGAGCAAACAGGAUUAGAUACCCUGGUAGUCCACGCCCUAAACGAUGUC